rnacentral:rRNA from 1 species
UACGGGGGGGGCAAGCGUUGUUCGGAAUUACUGGGCGUAAAGGGCUCGUAGGUGGCCAACUAAGUCCGACGUGAAAUCCCAAGGCUUAACCUUGGAACUGCGUCGGAUACUGGAUGGCUUGAAUUCGGGAGAGGGAUGCAGAAUUCCAGGUGUAGCGGUGAAAUGCGUAGAUAUCUGGAGGAAUACCGGUGGCGAAGGCGGCAUCCUGGACCGACAUUGACGCUGAUGAGCGAAAGCUAGGGGAGCAAACGGG